UGAGGCUGUAUAUGAUGUACUGGGUGAA
rnacentral:piRNA from 1 species